rnacentral:RNase_P_RNA from 1 species
AUGGAGCGGCGGAUGGCCGCGUGCCGCACGCUCGUCGUGACGGUACGAGGAACGUCCGGGCACCACAGAGCAGGAUGGUGGGUAACGCCCACUCGGGGUAACCCGCAGGACAGUGCCACAGAAAGCAGACCGCCCCGUCACGGGGUGAGGGUGAAAGGGUGGUGUAAGAGACCACCAGCGGUCCAGGUGACUGGAUCGGAUCGGUAAACCCCAUCCGGUGCAAGACCGAACAGGAUGUGCUUGACGGCGGCUCGCCGGAGCAUCCGGGUUGGUCGCUCGAGCGCGUCGGCAACGGCGCGCCUAGAUGGAUGGCCAUCACCGGGGAGCGGGUAACGGCUCCCCGGGACAGAACCCGGCGUAUGCCCGCUCCAUCCCG